rnacentral:tRNA from 1 species
GGGCCCAUACCCCGAAAAUGUUGGUUUAACCCCCUCCUCUACUA